GGAGCCAUGGUAACCAAGUUACGCUAAACAGGCAUAGAACACGCUCAUAGAAGCUGCUGUUUUCUGUGUGGUUUAAGUCCUUUAAAAUAAGUUUGAAUGUCCCGGAAGGCGCUUAAAGUGUUAACUGAAAUAAAGCUCAGAGCGGUUUCCUGCCCUGGAGUUCACCUGUCAGUCAAAGAUGACGUUUAUCUCAAAAUGUUCUUCAUGGAUCAGUUCCGUCAGUCUCGGUGUGUCCCUGCAGUCUUUCCUUUGUUGUUCCACGAGAAGAUUACAUUUGAAAAGAUUUUUAGGCAUGCAGUGGACCCUGGAGAAAUAGCUCUACUGCUUGAGUAUGAAACUGUCAGAAUAGAACUGGUGCAACUGAUUCCUCCAGCUGGAGACACUCUGGCGUAUUUCGAAGAAGAUGCUCGUAGUUUCUUGUUUCCAGAGCCCAAGCUAGUUCCGUCCUUCUCUGGAGUGGACCGAGCAGUACUGAUGACCAGAGCUGCUCACUUCUUUAGUAUUGUUCCUCGGUUAGAGUUUUCUACCAAGACUACAAUUUCUGAGUGUCCACCUGAUACAAAGGUUACCACUUACUGUAACAUUCCACUGUGGGCAGGGAAAAGAAGAAAUAAGAGGCACUCCAACAUACCUCGAUCUACACCUCAUCGGAUUGCUGAAAGAGAGAGAAGUGUCAGGAUGGCCUCACCUCUGUCAUACAUUUCCAGAUCCCAGUCCCUUUCUUCACUGAGAGAUGGGUACAUCCCCAGUCUGGCCCAACUCAGUAUGGGCUCUGCACCUUGCAACCCCACUGACUGGGAGACGGCAAGCUCUCAGCCUAUAAUGUCCUCUUGGCUGGAGGCUAGUGUGUCUGCCUCACCCAAAUGCUCUACAAUGUUUACCAGUCGUUCUGCCUCACCUUUGACUAGGUCUUCUUCCACAGUGAGCCAUUCCUCUGCUUCCAGACGACUUCAGUCCAGGAGCUUGCAGGUCAGAGGAAAAUCUGAGAUUGAUUCCAGGUAUUUAGGAGCGCAUGAGUCCAUUGACCCUGUGCCCUUACCCCUUCAUCUAUCCUACAGAGAACUGCCCCACCACCACAGUUCUCACAGAUCAUGGGAAGAACUCCAUGAGCGCGUUCAAGGUCUUCUAACAACUCCAAAAGCUGUACGCCGACUUGCCUAUGGAACCACACUGUCUGAGGCUGAUGAAGUUUUAGCCUGGAGGUUCAUUUCUGCAGGUCCACUCUGAGUCUGGAGAGCUCAGAUGGUGCUGAUCUAUCGCUAUUCAAUUAAACACAAAGUUGGAGUCAAGUGUUCAUCACCCACUCUCUUUGCGGUUGACAUCUGGAUGGAGAUCCUCUAAUGGUUCUGGAACUCAUCUGCAGUGGCUUGGGUGGAUCCAGCUGGCUCAAUCAAGGAUUCAAUGAUUGACAAGCUAUCCUCUUGGGAGCAGUGCAGCUGCCACGCCAUACAUUGGUGCAGGUGCAGAUAAAGGUCUCCACCACACAGCGAUAGAAGCUCCUCCGGAUGGCUUUUCCAAUUCCAGCUUUCUGCUGCUUCCUUAGGAAGUUGGUGGCUUCCGUUCUUAGCUGGGCCUUCCUGACCAGACCUAGGAUGCUGACACUUAAGAAGCCCUGGAUGACUCAGGAGGUCCAGCGACUAUUAAAGAUCAGGAAUACUGCCUUUAGGGGUGGGGACAGGACUGUCUACAGUACAGCCCGAGCUAACUUGAAGAGCGGCAUCAAAAAGGCUAAGUCCAACUACAGGAGGAGGAUAGAGGGCUAUCUUGAUAGUAACAACAGCAGGUGAAGCCAACAUAGGCAGCCACACUACACCAAGCAAUCCAUCACCACACUCCUUGUUGCAGAGGAGGUGAGGCGCAUAUUGCGGGCCGUCAACCCAAGGAAGGGUGCUGGACCUGAUGGCGUCCCUGGACGUGUCCUGAAAGACUGCGGUGAUCAGCUGGCUGGAGUCUUCACCAGGAUCUUCAACCAGUCCCUAGCCCUGUCUACAGUUCCAUCUAGCCUGAAAUCUUCCAUCAUAGUGCCUAUACCCAAGAAACCUCACAUCUCUUGCCUCAACGAGUACCGGCCAGUGGCACUAACCCCUGUGGUGACAAAGUGUUUUGAAAAACUGGUCCAUAUUACAGCACUUAUUUCUCCUGGCUUUGACCCCCACCCGUUUGCCUACAGAGUCAACAGAUCCACAGAGGACGCUGUGAUCACAGCCCUCCAUGCUGCUCUGUCACAUCUGGAGCAGCAGGGGAGCUAUGUGCGGAUGCUCUUUGUGGAAUACAGUUCUGCUUUUAAUGCUAUUCUCCCUCACAGACUGGUGGACAAAUUGGGGGAUCUAGGUUUUGUUAAGCAUAUGCACUGACUGAUGGCAGUUUUUAAAUUUCGUUGUUCCUGUGACAAUGACAAUAAAGACUUUUAU